UGCGUAGGCGGUGCGGUAAGUCUUUUGUGAAAUCUCCGGGCUCAACUCGGAGUCUGCAGGAGAAACUGCCGUGCUAGAGUAUGGGAGAGGUGAGUGGAAUUCCUGGUGUAGCGGUGAAAUGCGUAGAUAUCAGGAGGAACACCUGUGGCGAAAGCGGCUCACUGGACCAUAACUGACGCUGAGGCACGAAAGCUAGGGGAGCAAACAGGAUUAGAUACCCUGGUAGUCCUAGCCCUAAACGAUGAUUGCUUGGUGUAGCAGGUACCCAAUCCUGCUGUGCCGCAGCUAACGCGUUAAGCAAUCCGCCUGGGGAGUACGGUCGCAAGGCUGAA
rnacentral:rRNA from 1 species